UCUUAUGGAUGAGCGAAGAAAUUGGUUUCUUGAGAUGGAAACUGCUGCUGGUGAAAAUACUGUGAA
rnacentral:pre_miRNA from 1 species